rnacentral:rRNA from 1 species
UAAGAGUUAUUUUUUUUUAAAAAAACCUCGUUGUUUGAUUUCUGGGGGGAGGGGCGGGCCCCCCGCAAGGGGGGUGCUAGUCGCUCCUCCCGCGCCCACUGCGAACAGCGCCCUUGACUGUGGGCCCGGAGUGAGUCUUUCUUUUACAGAAAAAGAGUGAGGGUUGCAGGCAAGCCCCUCCUGAGUAUCAUGGGAAGUUAUAAAAGGACUGACUUGUUUUUGUUUUUGUUGGUUUGCAGAUCGAGGUAAUGAUAAAACAGGGUUGGGGGGGGUUACUUAUUUAACUGACAAGGGAUAAUGUCUUGGAUUUAUGAAAAAUGAACUUUACCCGAUGCCUUUGCUGUUUAGCUUUAUCUUAAACAAAAAGACGGUAAUCGAAAAGAAUAUAAUUCGACCCAAUCGUUAUCUUUCCCUUGCCUCUAGUAAUCGGGGAUUGAUGUUCUUUAUUUCACGACUCCGUCAGCACCUUAUGAGAAAUUUAGUCUUCGGGGGGAGGCUCUAAUAUGGGCUGAAUGUUUGAAGUUUUGAUGAAAUGGCGGAAGCGGCGCAGCCAGACUCUGACCCUGUACUUUAAUUUUAUCCCAAACAGGGACACGUCUCGCGGGACAAAGAGAGGAAGGGAUGAUCACAGGGGAGCGUCUCUCUUUGGGUGGCUGGGGGUGGGGGGGUGGUGGGAGUUCGUUGUUGGUGGAGUGCUUUUUGGUGUAAACUACCUUAAAGUAAAUAGAGCCGCAUAUUUCUUAAAUAGUUUCCUAGAAUGACUACGGACAUCUUCUUGGGGAGAGUACGUUGAGAGGGGAACCAUUAG